rnacentral:rRNA from 1 species
CAGUCGCCACGGUAAUACGAGGGGGGCAAGCGUUGUUCGGAAUUAUUGGACGUAAAGGGUGCGUAGGCGGUUUGGUAAGUCUUGUGUGAAAUCUUCGGGCUCAACUCGAAGUCUGCACGAGAAACUGCCGGGCUUGAGUGUGGGAGAGGUGAGUGGAAUUUCCGGUGUAGCGGUGAAAUGCGUAGAUAUCGGAAGGGACACCUGUGGCGAAAGCGGCUCACUGGACCAUAACUGACGCUGAUGCACGAAAGCUAGGGGAGCAAACAGGAUUAGAUACCCCUGUAGUCCCUGUCUCUUAUAC